GUUGUCGCUGUAAGCUGUAUCCUGGUUCCUGAUAGCUAUUUGUAGUUUGCUGUCUUCUCGCUCCGAGCUCCUAGUUUCUUGGUUUCCUGUUAGAUAUUUCCAGUUUUUCCUGUUUGCUGGUUCCGGUUCGCUGUUUCCAGUUUGCCUGUUUCUGGUUCCUGGUUUGUGUUUUUUUUUUCUUUAUUUUUGACAUCAAAUUACAAGAAUACAGCACAUCCUUCCACAGCACGUUACAGUAACUGUAACACAACAACAACAACAUGGAAACAAAACACAAGAGGUUUAGGGGGAGUUGCGGGCAAAGCUGAGGCAGGUGUUCCCAUCACCCAUUUCCUUGAGGAACCACACAGACGUAAACCUCUCGGGAUACCCGGGAGCCAACUCGGUGGCACGUCAACCACCCUUGGACCUGGGCCCCAGCGGACUUGAACUAAGUAAAACAAGCCAGGCUGUCCUUGACGUGGCGAUGAGACACUAAGUCCAACGAUGGAAGGGAGGAGGAAGCUGAGUAAAACGGAGAUGAGGAGGAGGAGGAGGCAUCAAGAGGAACCACCCAGGCCCGGAAAGUGAAGCUGUCACUCGUGGUCUCAGAGUCAUCGUGGAUAUGGUGGGCUUUGGACGGUGAACACUAUCUCUGAAGGCUGGCUGUCAACAUGGACCACCUGGAGGAGACAUUGUGCCCCUCUGCAACGACCACUGGGCGAUUAUUAAUGACUGUUGGUGGACUCUGAUGACUCUUAAGAUCUUCUUGGGUGAAUAAGGAAACCGCAUCUGCCUCUGCUGCGGAUUCACCAUCAUUCUUGAGAAGCACACCGUGUUUGGGCGGAAGGAAGACCUCGUACGUUAGUUGCUGUGAAUCCCUGAUGUCGAGGUUGCUGAAGAUGCUGAGGUUACAUGAGAGUAAGCAUCCGACGGUCGGUGACGGCCGGUGGGAGGAGACAAGAGAGUCCACAGCUGCAGGAGGAACGACGCAAACUCUCCGCUCAUGUCUACGGUUUCGGUGAGAAAAUUGUGUUAAGAAGUCGCCUCUUACCGGAGAUCUGCCGUGACUUCCCUCAGACACUGGCGUCAACACACCCGUGGACACACCCCUCCGACUAUCAGGCCUGGUUUUAGCAGCUGGAGGAUGUGUUGGGACCAGACUGGAAGCUGUGCUCCUCUGACAGGAAGACACAAUGGCCUCACCACCAAAGAUAAAGAGUUAGCAUCAAGCUGGUAAGCAGAAUGCGUCACAGUACACCAAAGUUCUUGUCAGCUGAACCGAGGUAAGGUUGUAUUGUGAUGAGUCAGCAAACCAACAACUGUUGUCAUGCCUACAAGUUGACAAUGUCAGCUAAGUGUGUUUUAUCCCUCAAUUCCAAGUAUCAGAAAUGAAGGAGGAGUAAAAGGGCUGGAAAUGCAUUUGAAUUGAGCUGUCAAAAGUAAUGCUUUAUGGUAAACAAUUGCAGAGCAGAAUGACUCAAAAUUCUGAAAAACCUUGUUAGCAUCACAUUUCUGGGAAGUUUAUUUAAGUACUCCGGUGCAUUCAUUGUUCACGCUGCAAGUCAAUCUCCAUUUUUAUUGCCCCUAUGUGACCUGUAUCGCAUUUUUUCAUGUCAGAUUUUUCGAAUCCGACACAGGCCUUUUUUUGUAUGUUUAUAUACAAAACUACAAAAGCAGUGAAGUUGUCACCUCGUGUAAACGGUAAAUAAAAAGAGAAUACAACAAAUCCUUGUCAACUUAUAUUAAAAUCGAAUAGACUGAAAACACAAGAUAUUUCAUGUUCACACUGAGAAACUUCAUUUUUUUCCCGCAAAUAAUCAUGAACUUAGAAUUUAAGGGCAGCAACACAUUGCACAUUUAAAGGCCUACUGAAAUGAGAUUUUCUUAUUUAAACGGGGAUAGCAGGUCCAUUCUAUGUGUCAUACUUGAUCAUUUCGCGAUAUUGCCAUAUUUUUGCUGAAAGGAUUUAGUAGAGAACAUCGACGAUAAAGUUCACAGCUUUUGGUUGCUAAUAAAAAAGCCUUGCCUGUACCGGAAGUAGCAGACGAUGUGCGCGUGACGUCACGGGUUGUGGAGCUCCUCACAUCCGCACAUUGUUUACAAUCAUGGCCACCAGCA